rnacentral:piRNA from 1 species
UCCCAAGGGGAGACCAAUGGAGGGCA